CUACGGGUCGCACCAGUGGGGAAUAUUGCACAAUGGGCGCAAGCCUGAUGCAGCCAUGCCGCGUGUAUGAAGAAGGCCUUCGGGUUGUAAAGUACUUUCAGCGGGGAGGAAGGGAGUAAAGUUAAUACCUUUGCUCAUUGACGUUACCCGCAGAAGAAGCACCGGCUAACUCCGUGCCAGCAGCCGCGGUAAUACGGAGGGUGCAAGCGUUAAUCGGAAUUACUGGGCGUAAAGAGCACGCAGGCGGUUUGUUAAGUCAGAUGUGAAAUCCCCGGGCUCAACCUGGGAACUGCAUCUGAUACUGGCAAGCUUGAGUCUCGUAGAGGGGGGUAGAAGUCCAGGUGUAGCGGUGAAAUGCGUAGAGAUCUGGAGGAAUACCGGUGGCGAAGGCGGCCCCCUGGACGAAGACUGACGCUCAGGUGCGAAAGCGUGGGGAGCAAACAGGAUUAGAUACCCGUGUAGUC
rnacentral:rRNA from 1 species